CUUUCUUAGAAUAAUUCUUUGGUGGUAAUGAUGCAUGAGCUACAGGAUGGCCAGUUGAAAAACACAAUGCAAAACCAGACUGUGUAAGGUAUAAGGGCAGAACUGAUUGGAUGUGAGACACAGUGGAUAAGAGGCAAGUGGCACUCAAUUCUGCCUUUUGAGGAGUAUCCUAAUUGUGACUUUGAGAAAAUAAGUUGUUAAAUGUCUAGAAGAGGGGGAAACACUAUAAAUAUCAAAGGUAAGAAUGAGAAAACUCAGAAAUACGGUGUACCACUGAUAGACUUCAGGCUAGAAUUUACCAGCAGAAAACAUUUCUUUUAAUCAGAAGACAACACUGGCUUCUGGGAUUCUGUUUUGCCAAUCACUUUGGGAUAGCUGCUGUAGUGUAUUAAUAAAUAGCAAAGAGAACAAGACACUGUAAGCCUGGAGAGGGUUCAGCAAAGGGCCACCAUGAGUGGCUCAGGUCUUGUCCAGCUUGGAAAGGACAAGGCUUUGGUGGGACUCUCAGCAGCCCCCAGUGCCUGCAGGGGGGUGAUGAGCAGGGACCAGGUCACAAUUCUAGAGUUAAAAGCAAGCUGAGUUUUCCUUUUGAAAAUCUGUUAAAAUAUGAUCAUUCGGUUUUCAUUAUAUUCUAAACCAGUCAGGGAAUCCAACUCCCACUUUCAAAAUGUCAUGUUAGGGCAUGAAUUAGCAAGUAGGGUAUUUUGAUUAGGGAUAAUAUCCAAGAAAAUUGUGUUAUUGGGAAAUAGACCCCUUGUGUCUAAAUAGAGGCACAAUGAAAAAAAAGAAAUAGAGCUUAUGUGCCUAAACAUUGUCAGUGAUGGUUCUUUAUUGAUUAAUCUAAAUGUAAAGGACAGGUUGCAAAAACCUAUUAGUAAGCUCCCUGGGAGUAUUUUCUUAUUAUAUUUUUUAUGUGGUUAUAUUGAUUUUUAUAUGGCUGAUUUGCCUCCAGAGACACCCUCAGAUUCACUUGCAGGGCUGGACUUGGCUGUAAAGUGUGGUCAACAUCGUGGCUCUUGGUGGAGUACAUGGUUCAGAUUGCAAAGCAGCUGUAUUACUUAAGGCUCUGUGCAUCAAAACUAAUCUAUGAGGAAAAAAUCCUUUUUUGAGAUUUCAGUCAAUGUGAUGAAAGAUGUUAGGUGGCAACUUUGCAGAAGCUGGGCACACAGAUACGUUUGAAAUUCUGGAGUAUUCACUGGAAGGUAGGACACAGUACACUGGGAGGUGCUCUGGGC